rnacentral:rRNA from 1 species
UUGAGAGUUUGAUCCUGGCUCAGAAUGAACGCUGGCGGCGUGCUUAACACAUGCAAGUCGAACGAGAGGUUUUUAAAGAUUUUUCUUAAAAAACUGAAAGUGGCGGACGGGUGAGUAACACGUGAGAAUCUGCCUUUAGGAAAGGGACAACAUUUGGAAACGAAUGCUAAUACCUUAUAUGCCUAUUAUAACUUGUAUAAUUAAUAGGUGAAAAGUUUUCUGCCUAGAGAGGAGCUCGCGGCUGAUUAGCUAGUUGGUGGGGUAAUGGCCUACCAAGGCGACGAUCAGUAACUGAUUUGAGAGGAUGAUCAGUCACACUGGAACUGAGACACGGUCCAGACUGCUACGGGAGGCAGCAGUGGGGAAUUUUCUGCAAUGGGCGAAAGCCUGACAGAGCAAUACCGCGUGAGGGAUGACAGUCCUAUGGAUUGUAAACCUCUUUUUUCAGGGAGGAAGUUCUGACGUUACCUGAAGAAUAAGCAUCGGCUAACUCCGUGCCAGCAGCCGCGGUAAUACGGAGGAUGCAAGUGUUAUCCGGAAUCACUGGGCGUAAAGCGUCUGUAGGUGGUUUAAUGUGUCUGUUGUUAAAUCUUAAGGCUCAACCUUAAACCAGCAAUGGAAACUAUUAUGACUUGAGUGUGGUAGAGGUAGAGGGAAUUUCCAGUGGAGCGGUGAAAUGCGUAGAUAUUGGAAAGACCACCAAUGGCGAAGGCACUCUACUGGGCCAUUACUGACACUGAGAGACGAAAGCUAGGGGAGCAAAUGGGAUUAGAUACCCCAGUAGUCCUAGCUGUAAACGAUGGAUACUAGAUGUCGCAUGUAUCGACCCAUGCGGUAUUAUAGCUAACGCGUUAAGUAUCCCGCCUGGGAAGUAUGCUCGCAAGAGUGAAACUCAAAGGAAUUGACGGGGGCCCGCACAAGCGGUGGAGCAUGUGGUUUAAUUCGAUGAUACGCGAGGAACCUUACCAGGGCUUAAAUGUAAAUUGACAGGUUUAGAGAUAGACUUUUCUUCGGACAAUUUACAAGGUGCUGCAUGGUUGUCGUCAGCUCGUGCCGUGAGGUGUCAGGUUAAGUCCUAUAACGAGCGCAACCCCUGUUGUUAGUUGCCAGCGAGUCAAGUCGGGAACUCUAACAAGACUGCCAGUGCAAACUGUGAGGAAGGUGGGGAUGACGUCAAAUCAUCACGGCCCUUACGUCCUGGGCUACACACGUGCUACAAUGGCAUCUACAGUGAGUUAAUCUCCAAAAGAUGUCUCAGUUCGGAUUGUCCUCUGCAACUCGAGGGCAUGAAGGCGGAAUCGCUAGUAAUCGCGGAUCAGCAUGCCGCGGUGAAUACGUUCCCAGGCCUUGUACACACCGCCCGUCACACCAUGGGAGUUGGAUUCACUCGAAG